rnacentral:misc_RNA from 1 species
UUUUUUUUUACACGCUCCAAAACACAUAUUGUUAUAUACUUAAAAAUUAACAUGAUAGAGUGAUAAGUUCCUUUAAAACACGCUUUUCUAAUCUGAAAAUUACAUAAGCAGUGAUAUAUUAAAUACAACUUAAAAUCACAUAACAAUCCACCUUUAAUUACCACAAUAAACAGGCAUUGCACAAUAAGAGGUGCCAGAGGUUCAUGUAUAAUGGGAACUGUAGGGUCAAGCACAACCCCAUGAAAUCAAUAACUACUCAGUCCAGUCCACUGCUCCAAUGAAAGAGUUUUAUCCAGCUGCAGGGAGAGGUUCAUCUUGCAUGAGCAGUUGCCAAACUAGUUUUAACAUUUACAUGAAUUUGAGCAUGCAUACUGAGGACAAUAAACCUCCUUUACUGCAUGUUUCCCCUUUCUUAAUACUUCAUCUUCUUUUGCUGCUUUAUCAUUCUUUUGAAACAU